AUACUUACCUGGCAGGGCAGAUACCGUGAUCACAAAGGUGGUUUUCCCAGGGCGUCAUUUAUCCAUUGCACUCCGGAAGUGCUGACCCUGCGAUUUGUCCAAAUGUGGGAAACUCAACCGCACGAUUUGUGGUAGUGGGGAACUGCGUUGUGCUUUUCCCUG